AUUUUAGAUUUAUCUGACAAGACCCAGAUGGAAAAAGAAGUAGAAGAGACUGAGAUUUUGACUGUGAGCUUUGGGCCUAGUGUUUUCUUAGUUUGGAGAGUGUAUGAAGAAGAGUGAGUGUGAAUGUUUAUAUAAUGUGUGGAUUGUAUUGUAUACGUGUAUGUGUUAUAUAUAUGUAUAUAUGUAUGUAUGGGCUUUGUGUUAUGUAAAGGAGGUUACAGAAUUAUUGUCGCUACGUAUAGAGAGAGAAAGUGUUGUUGGGUGGGAGAGCAAGAGAGAGAAUGUCUUUUAUUGAGAAGACGAAAUGUUCCCACAAAGAUCAAAUCUUUUUUUUUUUCUCCAUUGAGAGAGAAGAGAGAAGAGAGAAGAGGAGAGAGUGUGACAAAGUGUCAUUUAUCAAAUGGACAAGAGAAAUUAAAACUUUUUUUUUGAACAAAGAAAUUAAAACUUAAAAAAAAAAAA